rnacentral:pre_miRNA from 1 species
UUCAAGUAAUCCAGGAUAGGCUGUUUCCAUGGCAACGCGGCCUACUCUUGAUUACUUGUUCC